GGUUAUAGUUGCGAGACCACGCCUUAGAAGACCCUGAAGGGCUUCCCUUGUGUGAUUCCCUCCAAGGGUCUCAACCUGUCCGGCACCUGCAAUUCCAUGAUAUCAUUAUCCCUGUGAAUACAACAGCCAGGACAGAUUUUGAGGGCGCGCAAAGAAUUUAGAGGGAUUUAAUAAAGGCUAUAUUCUAAGGAACCAAAUAUUACCAAUAUUAAAGGAGAUCAAGCUAUACAACAUACCUUCAGCUGUGAAAUACUGUUCCUUGAAGCCUUCAGUCCAGAUAUGAUGCCUUUCACUUCCUCGUUGACUAUCAACAGCAAAGUCAUCGCACUCAAGCGAACAGACCACUCCAUAUUUACCAAUUAUAAUAGCAAUGCUUAUAAGUUAUUUUAUAACAGCACGAACUGAAACUGUAAUUAAGAUACUAGUAUGUUGGAUUUAUAAUGUGUUGUGACGAUUAUGUAUUAUAUCAUAUCAGUUGACGAGUGAUGUAACGCGCACCUGCAAAGUUUAUACUCCGCCCACAGGUUGGCAAAAAUAGAUGGGAUUCGUAUAAGCUCCGCCCAUAUAAAGACGGUGAACAUAAUCCUCGAUCUUAAUGAUAAUCAUGCACUAUAUCAAAUAUAAUUAUAAAUUAUGUCUGAAUAAAACAUAAGCUUGCAAGUAAAUGCAUUUUA